rnacentral:rRNA from 2 species
GGAGCGACGUUCGAUAUGGGCGUAAGCGCGCGCAGGCGGUUUCUUAAGUCUGAUGUGAAAUCUUGCGGCUCACCGCAGAGGGCCAUUGGAAACUGGGAGACUUGAGUGCAGAAGAGGAGAGUGGAAUUCCACGUGUAGCGGUGAAAUGCGUAGAGAUGUGGAGGAACACCAGUGGCGAAGGCGACUCUCUGGUCUGUAACUGACGCUGAGGCGCGAAAGCGUGGGGAGCGAACAGGAUUAGAUACCCUGGUAGUCCACGCCGUAAACGAUGAGUGCUAAGUGUUAGAGGGUUUCCGCCCUUUAGUGCUGCAGCUAACGCAUUAAGCACUCCGCCUGGGGAGUACGGCCGCAAGGCUGAAACUCAAAGGAAUUGACGGGGGCCCGCACAAGCGGUGGAGCAUGUGGUUUAAUUCGAAGCAACGCGAAGAACCUUACCAGGUCUUGACAUCCUCUUGACCUCCCUAGAGAUAGGGAUUUCCCUUCGGGGACAGGAGUGAUCCCGCAACGAGCGCAACCCUUGACCUUAGUUGCCAGCAUUCAGUUGGGCACUCUAAGGUGACUGCCGGUGACAAACCGGAGGAAGGUGGGGAUGACGUCAAAUCAUCAUGCCCCUUAUGACCUGGGCUACACACGUGCUACAAUGGAUGGUACAAAGGGCUGCAAGACCGCGAGGUUUAGCCAAUCCCAUAAAACCAUUCUCAGUUCGGAUUGUAGGCUGCAACUCGCCUACAUGAAGCCGGAAUCGCUAGUAAUCGCGGAUCAGCAUGCCGCGGUGAAUACGUUCCCGGGGCUUGUACCUCCCUGAUGAUUAGCGGCGGACGGGUGAGUAACACGUGGGUAACCUGCCUGUAAGACUGGGAUAACUCCGGGAAACCGGGGCUAAUACCGGAUAACUUUUUUCUUCGCAUGAGGGAGAAUUGAAAGAUGGCUUCGGCUAUCACUUACAGAUGGACCCGCGGCGCAUUAGCUAGUUGGUGAGGUAACGGCUCACCAAGGCGACGAUGCGUAGCCGACUUGAGAGGGUGAUCGGCCACACUGGGACUGAGACACGGCCCAGACUCCUACGGGAGGCAGCAGUAGGGAAUCUUCCGCAAUGGACGAAAGUCUGACGGAGCAACGCCGCGUGAGUGAUGAAGGUUUUCGGAUCGUAAAACUCUGUUGUUAGGGAAGAACAAGUAUCGUUCGAAUAGGGCGGUACCUUGACGGUACCUAACCAGAAAGCCACGGCUAACUACGUGCCAGCAGCCGCGGUAAUACGUAGGUGGCAAGCGUUGUCCGGAAUUAUUGGGCGUAAAGCGCGCGCAGGCGGUUUCUUAAGUCUGAUGUGAAAUCCCGCGGCUCAACCGCAAGCGGCCAUUGGAAACUGGGAGACUUGAGUGCAGAAGAGGAGAGUGGAAUUCCACGUGUAGCGGUGAAAUGCGUAGAGAUGUGGAGGAACACCAGUGGCGAAGGCGACUCUCUGGUCGUAACGACGCGGGCGAAAAGAA